CAAAAUGUGACAUUUCCAGAUGACCAUACGACCUAGGUCAUCAUCGCCUCCUCCGAUCAGUCGUCGGGCUUCUCCGAUCAGUGUUGUACGCCUCUGAUUAUCCUCUCCACGAUCAUCCAUCUCAUCUCAGGCUUUGGCUUCGGGGCUUCUCCGAUCAGUGUUGUACGCCUCGUCAAUUCCCUUGGUACCCCCAAAGAUACUCUUCAACUUCGAGAAAAACUACACAAAACGAGGAGCCAUAUCACACAAUUGGUGAAGGAGACUUCAUCCAAACUCAGGCAAGCCAGUGAGGCCGAUCACCAACAUAAUAAUCAAUUUACUAUGUACUAAGUGAGGAACAGAUUGUUGAGUUUAAAGAAGCUUUUUGUAUUUUUGACAAGGAUGGAGAUGGUGUUUAUGUGUUGAGACGAACUUCAAAGAAACUUUUGUGGCAACAGUUUGCAAGAGGUAUGCCUCUAACUUUUAUUUUAAUACUAUGCAAAUGUUAGAGGAGUUUGAAUAUCUUAAAUAUUCAUCCAUAGUGUAGUAGGUUCUGGGAUUGUUACUGUGUGCUGCGGUGAUAACGGAAGGUUGAUAACUUGUGUGUUUUAGUGAAGUAGGAUCUGAGAAAUUUGUGUGUUGCGGAGAUAAGGAAGAAAACUUGUGUGUUGUUUGAAUUGAUAUUGGCAGAUGGUUGGUUGCUAGUGACAUAUCACUAUACAUAAUAUUUGAGUGCAUAUUUUGAGUACACAUAUCAUUACUCUUCAAAUUAUUACGUAAUUGUUCCUUUUGUUCCCACCACUACUUUGCAUUUUUUGAAUGACCCUUUCUCUCGUACUUUGCAUCUGGAAGCUGGAAUCUGAAUCAUCAAGGACAACCUGACACCCCUUUUCUUCUUCUUCUUCUUCUUCCCAUUUUAUAAAUAAUUCCCAUUUUUUUCAAAAAUUAUGAAUUUGGCCCCCUUAUAUAAACU